rnacentral:lncRNA from 1 species
AAAAUUAUAAUCGUAAAGAGAAAUGUUUGCGUAAAAUAUGAAUAGUGUGUAUGUGUAUUUUGUAUAAAAUGUCUAAUAUAAAUCUUGCUGAAUAACUUUUUCAGUACAUAUUAUUUUCAAAAGUGAUUAAUAAUUCGAUAACAGCUUUAUCAUGGAUCCGAAUCUUAUGAAGCGCAGUUUUAAGCAGGACGACAACGCUUGCGGUGGUUUGCGCAGCAAGAAAAUGAAAACUCAGUUCUAUGGAGUUCUGCUGUUUUUGCUUGCUGUGGCUUUGUUCAUUGUUUGUUGCAGUUAUUUUUGUCCCAAGUUAGGUGAUAAGCUUAUUGGUGUAAUAUUAAUGCUGUUUUGAAAAUUGGUACUCGUGAAUUGUAUUUUCAAAUUUACAAGAAAGAAAAUGUUAUCUUCCCGCUUAUAAAAAAGCUUGUAAAAUAAAGUUAUGCAAUGAAAUUGA